rnacentral:hammerhead_ribozyme from 1 species
AUCUAGCUGAUGAGUCCCAAAUAGGACGAAAUCUGAGUCCUGGAU